rnacentral:misc_RNA from 1 species
GAUGAAGAACGUAGCGAAAUGCGAUAACUAAUGUGAAUUGCAGAAUUCCGUGAAUCAUCGAGUCUUUGAACGCACAUUGCGCCCCCUGGUAUUCCGGGGGACAUGCCUGUCCGAGCGUCAUUACAACCCUCAAGCCCGGCUUGUGUAAUGGGCGGCCGUCUCUCCCCCCGGGGGGAGACGCCCCCGAAACUCAGUGGGGAUGUCGCGAUACCGAAGCCUCAGCUAAUGGGUAAACCACAGCUGCAAUGGCCGCGGCCGGCGUCCGCCUUCCACGGUCCGUCCGCCUAGCGCGGGCGGCCUUCUCAAGGUUGACCUCGGAUCAGGUAGGGAUACCCGCUGAACUUAAGCAUAUCAAUAAGCGGAGGA